rnacentral:tRNA from 1 species
GAGGGUAUAGCUCAGUGGUAGGGCUCAUGCUUUGCAUGCACAGAGUCCUGGGUCCAAUCCCCAGGACUUUCA